GUGCAUUGUAGUUGCAUUGUAU
rnacentral:miRNA from 1 species